rnacentral:rRNA from 1 species
UACGUAGGGUGCAAGCGUUGUCCGGAAUUAUUGGGCGUAAAGAGCUCGUAGGCGGUCUGUCGCGUCUGCUGUGAAAACUCGGGGCUUAACCCCGGGCCUGCAGUGGGUACGGGCAGACUAGAGUGCGGUAGGGGAGACUGGAAUUCCUGGUGUAGCGGUGAAAUGCGCAGAUAUCAGGAGGAACACCGGUGGCGAAGGCGGGUCUCUGGGCAGUAACUGACGCUGAGGAGCGAAAGCAUGGGGAGCGAACAGG